GCCUCGGUGGUGUUGUGGUAGCACGCAUCAACGGUAUGAAUGAAACACGGGUUCGACUCCCGUCUGAGGUC